UACAUUUUUCGUGUCCACCUUCGAAAAUACUAAAUUACCCUCAGUCCUCACCAACCCCCGUGUUUCUCCUUCCUUUACGCCUCUUCUCUCACCAAACCAGAGAAAUCGAAAGAGGAGAGAGAAAACGGAAAAAACCUAAUUCAAUUCAUUUUCUCUCUCCCUAGAUAUCAACAACUACUGAAAUGCGAGAUUAUCAGGUUUGAACCCUAUCCGUUGAAGAAGAUGAUGAUGAUUUCAUUCCGAGUCUCUCACGACUUGACGACGGCCGCGGAAUUCUGGGUGUAUUAUUAAGAUGGUGUUAUGGAGAUUUGGAGAAUGAACCUAAGCCUUCUGCUGCUGUGGAAGGGACACAGCCCCAGGAUAUCGGGAUCAGCGGGUUCAGCAUUAAGUUCAAGAAAUGGUUGGGAUGAGGUCUUUUGGAUGCUGGUAAUUGGAGCCCUAAUUGUUGCCCUUCUAUUUUCACGCCUGGUAAAUAACAUAAAUCAGUGGCAUUCUCAAGAGGAAGCAAUCUCAUAAUGCACAACAUACACAGGGCAUAACUCCUUUCACACAAAGUACCGAUGCGGACAUUAGGCAAUUAUUUGGUUCAACAGGCUGAAUUGGGUUGUUAUUUGAUCAUCCAGGGGUAAUGAUUUGAUUAUCCAUGUGAGAAGAGUAAGAAUUAGGGAAUUAUUUAACUGUAUUUCUCGAAUCGACUUUAGACAUAGACCAAGAUUGCACCCUCCCUCUGUUUGAAAUUGUGUGUUUGGUUUCUGAAUUGUAUGCGCCACUGAUUUUGUUGAUGGCAUACUGAUUUUUGAAUCUGCUUCAAUUGAUAUUGUGUUUGGUUUCUGAAUUGUAUGCUCAAAUGAGUUGUCUAUGCAAUUGACAAUUGAAGAUAUAAUCUGUUAAAUCAUGCAACGGAUCAGACUGUAUAACUGCUCCUACUAACGUUCAUCAAAUUUGUUUGAGUAUAUUUUGGAGUCACAUUGGCCUGAUUUGGAUCUUUUCACAUGCGAAUCUGUGUCAAUGAGUUUUUUAUGAUAAAAUAGUUGUUAUUAGACACGUUGAUUGUGGUCAGUUUGGGUCAAUUCGGAUAAAGUGAAAGAGUUUGGG